UCCUGCCAGUAGUCAUAUGCUUAUCUCGAAGAUUAAGCCAUGCAUGCCUAAGUACACGUACUUGUAUUACGAAACCGUAUACGGCUCAUUAUAACAGCUAUGAUUUAAGGGGGCUAUGAAACCAUGGAUAACUGUGGUAAUUCUAGAGCUAAUACAUUCCACUAAAGUGCGACUUACGAAGCACUGGAUUUAUUGGAUCAAAACUAAUGCGUCCUUCGGGGCGGUGUUUGAUGAAUCUAGAUAACUUACCUAAUCGUAUGGCCUCGUGCCGGCGAUGCUCCCCUUCAAGUGGCUGACCUAUCAACUAUCGUUGGUAAGUUAAAGGCUUACCAUGGUGAUAACGGGUAACGGGAAAUCAGGGUUUGAUUCCGGAGAGGGAGCCUUAGAAACGGCUACCACAUCUACGGAUGGCAGCAGGCGCGUAACAUACCCAAUGCACGAUGUGCGAGGUUGUGAAGAUAAAUAGCAAUAUGAACUCUAUGAGUUUCAUAAUUGAAAUGAGGACAGUGUAAACACCUUAUCGAGUAACAAUUGGAGGGCAAGUCUGGUGCCAGCAGCCGCGGUAAUUCCAGCUCCAAAAGCGUAUAUUAAAGUUGUUGCAGUUAAAAAGCUCGUAGUCGAAAUUGGGGUGAGUUUCUGUAGGAUGUUUCAUUUUUUGGAACACUCCAGCAGUUGCCGCCUUACCAGCCGUGUACACUGUACAUGUCUUUCACGGAUGUGUACUGGUGACCGGCAAGUUUACUUUGAAAAAAUUAGAGUGCUUAAAGCAGGCUUACGCCUGUAUAAUGUUGCAUGGAAUAAUGGAAUAGGACUUUGGUUCUAUUUUGUUGGUUUUCGGAACUGAAGUAAUGAUUAAAAGAGACAGCCGGGGGCAUACGUACACUGGAAGAAGAGGUGAAAUUCAAAGAUCUCCAGUAGACGAACAACUGCGAAAGCAUUUGCCAAGAAUGUUUUCAUUGAUCAAGAACGAAAGUCUAUGGAUCGAAGAGGAUCAGAUACCCUCCUAGUAUAGACCAUAAACUAUGCCGACUGACGGUUCGUGAAGGCAAACCUUUGAGCCUUACGAGAAGUCACAGGGAAACCAAAGUCUUUGGGUUCCGGGGGAAGUAUGGUUGCAAAGCUGAAACUUAAAGGAAUUGACGGAAGGGCACCACCAGGAGUGGAGCCUGCGGCUUAAUUUGACUCAACACGGGAAAUCUCACCCGGUCCGGACACUGCGAGGAUUGACAGAUUGAUAGCUCUUUCUUGAUUCGGUGGGUGGUGGUGCAUGGCCGUUCUUAGUUGGUGGACUGAUUUGUCUGGUUAAUUCCGAUAACGAACGAGACUCUAACCUACUAACUAGUUCAUGCGUGUUUACUUAGCGCAUGCUAACUUCUUAGAGGAAUUCGUGACGUUUAGUCAAAUGAAAGAGAGCAAUAACAGGUCUGUGAUGCCCUUAGAUGUCCGGGGCCGCACGCGCGCUACAAUGGCAGUACCAGCGAGUUUAUUUCCUAGCCUGAGAGGGUCGGGUAAUCUGCUAAUUGCUGUCAUAUCAGGAAUAGUGGUUUGAAAUUAUUCCACUUGAACGAGGAAUUCCUAGUAAGUGCAAGUCACUAACUUGUGCUGAUUACGUCCCUGCCCUUUGUACACACCGCCCGUCGCUACUACCGAUUGAAUGAUUUAGUGAGAUUGUUGGAUCUGAUUCUAAGUAGCUUCGGUUACUAUGAAUUGGAAAAACACUCAAACUUGACCAUUUAGAGGAAGUAAAAUCGUACAAGGUUCCUA
rnacentral:rRNA from 1 species